rnacentral:rRNA from 1 species
CCCUUAGAUGUUCUGGGCCGCACGCGUGCUACACUGAGUGGAUCAGCAGGUCAGGUUGCGCGAAAGCGUUUCCUAAUCUUUAAAUCCGCUCGUGAUGGGGAUUGACGGUUGCAAUUUUCUGUCAUGAACGAGGAAUACCUUGUAAGCGCGGGUCAUCAUCCCGCGCUGAAUACGUCCCUGCCCUUUGUACACACCGCCCGUCGCUCCUACCGAUUGAGUGGUCCGGUGAGGCUUUGGGAUCUGAGCGGAAAGAGCGUUUCGCUGUUUCUGCUCGGAAAACUCAGUCGAACCUUAUCAUUUAGAGGAAGGAGAAGUCGUAACA